rnacentral:rRNA from 1 species
GAUGAACGCUGGCGGCGUGCCUAAUACAUGCAAGUCGAGCGAAUGGAUUACGAGCCUGCUCUUAUGAAGUUAGCGGCGGACGGGUGAGUAACACGUGGGUAACCUGCCCAUAAGACUGGGAUACCCCCGGGAAACCGGGGCUAAUACCGGAUAACAUUUUUAACCGCAUGGUUCGAAAUUGAAAGGCGGCUUCGGCUGUCCAUUACGGAUGCACCCGGGUCGCAUUAGCUAGUUGGAGAGGUAACGGCGCACCAAGGCAACGAUGCGUAGCCGACCUGAGAGGGUGAUCGGCCACAAUGGGACUGAGACACGGCCCAGACUCCUACGGGAGGCAGCAGUAGGGAAUCUUCCGCAAUGGACGAAAGUCUGACGGAGCAACGCCGCGUGAGUGAUGAAGGCUUUCGGGUCGUAAAACUCUGUUGUUAGGGAAGAACAAGUACUAGUUGAAUAAGCUGGCACCUUGACGGUACCUAACCAGAAAGCCACGGCUAACUACGUGCCAGCCGCCGCCGUAA